AUUGAACGCUGGCGGCAUGCCUUAUACAUGCAAGUCGAACGGUCACAGGUCUUCGGUUGCUGUCGAGUGGUGGACGGGUGCGUGUUAGAUACGCAUGUGUCCGCUACUGGGGGAUAUCGGAGCGCAAGCUUUGCUCAUACCGCAUACGAUCUAAGGUUUAAAGCCGCGGGCUGCAAGGCUUUGCGCGGGUGGUGCGGUCGGUGGUAGAUUAGGUAGUUGGUGAGGUAAUAGCUUACCAAGUCAACGAUUAGUAGCUGGUCUGAGAGGACGACCGGCCACACUGGAACUGAGACACGGCCCAGACUCCUACGGGAGGCAGCAGUAGGGAAUCUUGGACAAUGGGCGAAAGCCUGAUCCAGCCAUGCCGCGUGCAGGAUGAAGGCCUUCGGGUUGUAAACUGCUGUUAUACGGAACGAAAAGACGCUUACGAAAAAAUAGAGGCCAUGACGGUACCUAAAGAAAAAGCACCGGCUAACUACGUG
rnacentral:rRNA from 1 species